rnacentral:rRNA from 1 species
GGAAUAUUGGACAAUGGGCGCAAGCCUGAUCCAGCCACGCCGCGUGUGUGAUGAAGGCCUUCGGGUCGUAAAGCACUGUGGAGGGGGAAAAACAAGUGAGGGAAUAAUACCCCUCGCCCUGAUGGUACCCCUUUAGCAAGCACCGGCUAACUCCGUGCCAGCAGCCGCGGUAAUACGGAGGGUGCGAACGUUGCCCGGAAUUUUUGGGCGUAAAGCGCGUGUAGGCGGUUGGUUAAGUCGGAUGUGAAAUCCCUGAGCUCAACUUAGGAACUGCAUUCGAUACUGACUAACUCGAGUACAGGAGAGGGUGGCGGAAUUCCCGGUGUAGAGGUGAAAUUCGUAGAUAUCGGGAGGAACACCUGUGGCGAAGGCGGCCACCUGGACUGAUACUGACGCUGAGUACGCGAAAGCGUGGGGAGCAAAC